GCGCUCGUAGCUCAACGGAUAGAGCGUCGGUUUCCGGUGCCGCAGGUUGGGGGUUCGAGUCCCUCCGAGCGCGCCA
rnacentral:tRNA from 1 species